GCCAGCAGCUAUAUAACUUAGCAACCCACUGAAGCUAAGUAGGCAUGAGCCUGGCCAGUACCUGGAUGGGAGACCUCCUGAGAAAGCUAAGGUUGCUGCUGGAA
rnacentral:rRNA from 1 species